CCCGGCAGGUAUAUAAACGCAUGCAUACAAGUAAUAAUAUCGCGCACUCAAAUUGUCAAAGCAACUGCCAAGAAUUCGGAUUUGUUAUCAUCAUAACCAGAACAAUGUCGUCUGUCCGGAUAUUAGUUGUCCUCAUGGUUGUGUGCAUCCUCGCAGGGAGUUUAGUGCAACAGGCAGAAGCCCAGUGUUAUUGUAAAGACUCUCGCUGUGGCUGGAACGAGUGUUACAUAGGAAGAUGUGGAAGGUGGAACAGGGGCUAUUGGUGCUGCCAUCGCAAUAGCGAUGAGUGUCAAUAAUGGUUAUCAAGUUUUGGAACACCAAAACUACUUGUUUUGGAACAAGCAGUAUUAAAUAAAACAGACUUGAAACUUGUAUGCGUUAAUGUGUGUAUUCAAUUUUAUUUGAAUAAUAAUCAAAUUUCCAACAUAAUAUUCC